rnacentral:misc_RNA from 1 species
CCGAUACCCACACGUACAGAGGACGAACGUCCGACGUACAGGCAGCUGUUGGAGGAACACGUUGGUGGUGGCCGCCGCCGGCUCGACACAGCGUCGGGUCGGUCGGUCGGUCGUUACGUGGUGCAUGGCAAUCGCGAAUGAAUACUCGUUGACGCUUCGGGGUACCUGUCGCACGUCGUCCGUCUUCGCGUGCGGUGAGCAGGCCUCGGGCUUCGGCCCCCGGUCGGCGAAGGUCCAACGAACCGUCCGCGCGCUCUUCGGGGCGCGCGUUCGGUCGCCCCGUCGCAUUCUCAGUUUCCCACCCGUCAGUUACCGGUUUCGUACGGUCGUGUGUUACCCAAUGUCAGGACAACGAGAGUUACACAGAC